CUGCUGCCUUCCGUAGGAGUCUGGUCCGUGUCUCAGUACCAGUGUGGGGGACCUUCCUCUCAGAACCCCUAGACAUCGUCGCCUUGGUGGGCCGUUACCCCGCCAACAAGCUAAUGUCACGCAUGCCCAUCCGUCUCCGGAGUCGCCUCCUUUGGCCGAAAGAAGAUGCCUCCCCUCGGCCACAUGCGGUAUUAGGCCGGAUUUCUCCGGGUUAUCCCGCUGAAACGGGCAGGUUGCAUACGCGUUACUCACCCGUGCGCCGGUCG
rnacentral:rRNA from 1 species